GAGCAUAAACAACUUACCGACUUCAGCUGGUCAUGUAUGAAAUCCACUAGCUGCUGGCUCGACAUGCAAUCCCUAAACCAAAGUGAAGAAAAUCACAUGACCAUCUCUUUUCCAGAUGCCGAUGACUGCAUCUCAUAUGCCAUGACAUGAUCACCAA